rnacentral:lncRNA from 1 species
GAUAACAUGAGCGCAGCAAGAAAUGGUCUUGUCUACGUUGUUAUAAAAACGUUUCUAAUCAAAAUAUUCCUUCUUGUCUUACUAUUUAACACAAUACGAGUUAAAGACUAUGCUGAUUGAGAAUUUGUUUCGAUAUGACUUGUCAUGAGAGCGUUAAUCAUGAUAAAGAUAAAGGAAGAGAUAUCAGUCUAAAUCUAGUAGACUAAACAUUCCGCAUUUGAAUUGAUAACAUUGUCUUUCUUAAAAUAAACAUAUUGUAUAAAAAGUUAAUGGAUUCGUCAUGGACAAGGAAAAAUACAAGCA